AUGGCUGCAGCGAACGCUCCCUUCGCUCUCGUCAGCCGCCUCUCCCCGGCCGCGCGCCUGCCCAUCCGUGCCUGGAGAGCCGCGAGGCCGGCGCCGCUCUCGACCGGCGGGAGAACCCGCCCGCUCUUCGUGGCCUCCGCGGCGCAGGAGAAUAGGGACAACUCCGUCGACGUCCAAGUCAGCCAGGCCCAGAACGCCGGCAACCAGCAGGGCAAUGCAGUCCAGCGCCGCCCUCGUCGCGCUGGAUUUGACAUCUCCCCGUUCGGGCUAGUGGACCCGAUGUCGCCGAUGAGGACGAUGCGGCAGAUGCUGGACACGAUGGACCGGCUGUUCGACGACGCCGUGGGGUUCCCCACGGCGCGUCGCUCGCCAGCGGCGGCGAGCGAGACGCCGUGGAUGCCGUGGGACAUCAUGGAGGACGAGAAGGAGGUGAAGAUGCGGUUUGACAUGCCUGGGCUGUCGCGGGAGGAGGUGAGGGUGAUGGUGGAGGACGACGCGCUGGUCAUCCGCGGCGAGCACGGUUAG
rnacentral:rRNA from 1 species